AAUUAUGGGCGAUUAGGGAACGUAGGUUAAGCGUAUAAUUCCGUCAGUUUUCGUUAUUCAUUUCUUUUCAAUCGUUUUUGUUGUUGUAAGUCUAUUUUAUUGUGUGUUUUCUUAUCAUUAUUAUUCGGUUUUGUCUUCCAUCGCUUUUCAUUAAUGUAGAUUUGGCUGUUGUUAUUGUCAUCCCUUUAACUUGACAACGGGAAAGUUUAGGCGAAUUGAUCACGUAUAUACACAUUUAUCGCGCACAGAAUAAGAGACAAAGAGAAGUAAGAAGCUAAUGAAGAGACUCAGGGUGAAGAAAAGACGGAAAACAACUGAAAACAGACAAAAACAACGAAACUAAAAGGGAGAAGCUACACGGGACCAUUUCCAGUAUCCCAGCACAGGCUCAAGGGGCAAUGCGACGGAGAUGAGCACCGAGGCCACGCGCAGCUGUAGCGUAUGCCCCCAAAUAAUUAUUGAUAAACAGAUAACUGAAUACGACAGUGAAGAAAAACAGGAAAAAGUGAAGGAAAAACAGGAAAAUGUGUAUAAAAAGACAGGAUAAAAGUGAAAGAAAACAGGAAAAAGUGUAGAAAACCAGGAAAAAUUGUAGAAAACCAGGAAAAAUUGUAGAAAACCAGGAAAAAGUGUAGAAAACCAGGAAAAAGUGUAGAAAACCAGGAAAAAAUGUAGAAAACCAGGAAAAAGUGUAGAAAACCAGGAAAAAAGUGUUGAAAACCAGGAAAAUAUUGUAGAAACCCAGGAAAAAAUGUAGAAAACCAGGAAAAAGUGUAGAAAACCAGAAAAAGUGUAGAAAACCAGAAAAAGUUUAGAAUACCAGGAAAAAGUGUAGAAAACCAGAAAAAAGUGUAGAAAACCAGGAAAAAGUGUAGAAAACCAGGAAAAAGUGUAGAAAACCAGGAAAAAGUGUAGAAAACCAGAAAAAAGUGUAGAAAACCAGAAAAAAGUGUAGAAAACCAGGAAAAAGUGUAGAAAACCAGGAAAAAAUUGUAGAAAAUCGGGAAAAAGUGUAGAAAACCAGGAAAAAGUGUAGAAAACCAGAAAAAAGUGCAGAAAACCGAAGAAAAUAGUGGAAAAUAACAGGAAAAGUAAAAUAUAAUAGAAAAAAGCAGUAAUAAAUUGAAUAGUAUGUGAAUGAUCUGUUAAAUCCUAUGCUACGAAUGAGUGCAGUAGCUAAUUCAGGUCUAUACCAAACUCCUACUAAAGGUCUGAACUGGAUUAACCUGGAUUGGACAAGGAAGGACUUCACGUUCAACCCAUUCAGUUUAAUUAAGGCUUGACGACCGACGGGCUGACUUUCUAUCAACACGGGCGAUCCUUCCUCCCUUCUUCAUCCCUGUGGCUGGUAGAUAGAGGCAUGACGAUUACUACUAUACAACGAAGAAGACUUGUAAGU